CUCGUGCUUACAGAUAGUGGACGGAACUAAUCACAACCCUAAAGGAGUUAAGACGCUCCGGCAAGAUCAGUGGCAGAAACGUGAAAUUUAAAAUUGAAGUCUGAAUGUUCCAAUAUAAAUGCUCAGUCUGCUGGUUUCGGGACCAGAGCUGCCGGUUUCCGGAUUGGAGCUGCCGGUUUCUUUCUUUGCAACGCCCAGACCCUCCUC